CCUUUCAUACACUUAUGCUGACUGUCCUGUAUGUACUGUGUGAUAGCACUAAAGAUGAUCUGCUCCAUGACCUUCCCUGGCACUGAGGUCAGACUGAUGGGACUGUAGUUCCCUAGAUCCUCCUUUGGACCUUUCCUGUAGAUUGUCUCACCUCCUGUCAACUGGGACCAUCCUGGUCAGCCAGGACUGCUGAUAAAUGACAGAAAGUGGUCAUUGAACUCUCCUGCCAGCUACUUCAGGACCCUUGGGUGGAUCCCAUCAGGCCCCAUAGACUUGUGUGUAUCUAAGUGAUGUAGCAGGUUACUGACUUUCCCUUUGGCUUGUGGGGGCUUCAUUCUGCUCCCCAUCCCAUUCUUCCAGCUCAGGAGGCUUGGUACCCAGAAAACAAAUGACCUUACUAUUAAAGACUGAGGCAAAGAAGGCAUUAAGUACCUCAGCCUUUUCCUCAUCCUUUGUCACUGUGUUUACCCAAGCAUCCACUAAAGGAUUGAAAUUCCCCCUAGUCCUCCUUUUGUUGUGGAUGUAUUUAUGGAAACAGUUUUUAUUGUCUUCUGUGGCAGUAGCCAGAUUAAGUUCUACUUUGGCUUUGGCCCUUCUAAUUUUCUCCCUCUAUAACCUGUGACAUCUUUGUAGUCCUCCUGAGUUGCCUGCCCCUUCUUCCAAAGGCCAUAAACUCUCCAUUUUCUUCCUGAGUUUCAGCCAAAGCUCUCUGUUCAGCCAGGCCUAUCUUUCCUGCUGGCUUGUCUUCCACCACAAGGGUUGGCCUGCUCUUGUGCCUCUAAGAUUUCCUUCUGGAAGGAUGUCCAGCCUUCCUGGAUUCCUUUACUCUUCAAGACUGCCUCUCAAGGGGCUCUGUCAACCAGAGAUUAAAUUAAUUUAAUCUCUAAUUUAUGUCACCACACUGAAGGGCAAAGAGUUUCUGGUAGCAAAGGGCUUGCCUCAAUUGGUUUGCCUUUUUAUCAUCAUUGUUUGUGAAAGGGGUAUCAUGAAGUGAUCAUUACUUAGAGUGCUAGAUUUAAGCAGGAUUGGAAAUUGGGGGAGUCUUUUUGACUUGGGCAAGGAUUUCUAGUUAAUCCAGUUAGCCAUGGAAGCCAGUAGCUGUCUUACAGUCUAGUGCUAUUGUUUUUCUAAAUGGGGCUGUUCUGCUAACUGUCAGCUCUGGGAUCCUUUUGUUCCAUGCCAUUACCUUCUGCAUGUCAAAAUCUCACUGGUUUGGAAGAUUUAUAGCAGGUACAUUUUUGAGGUGGGAAGGAAAGCAAGGUACAUAGGAAAAGGGGAGUAGAGCUACCAAGCUAGUAAAGAACAUGAACAAAAACCUUUUCUAGACAAAGUUGCUUUCCUAUGCUGGGAGUUCAUUCUCAUGAGUUCAUCUCUGCAGUCUGUGAAAGUCAAAAAGAAACUGUACCAACCAGCAUGAAUUCGUUCUCCCUUCUUGCAUUGGCAGUUUUUCAUUUAGUGGAAACAGUAGUAGCUUUGCUGAAGCAAAGAAUCCUUUCCCUGUAAUGGAAACGGUUCAUUGCUGUCCUGAUGGCAGAUACAGUCAUACUUGGGGGAGAAAAGGCAUAAAUACUUGGACUGUGUCUUUCAGAUUACUGCCAUUGUUUAUACAGAUUCUUGAUUGUGCCGAUUGCAACUCUUCCUUUUAAAACAGUUUAAAUGGGUCAGUUGGAGAUCUUAGUCCUUAACAUUUUUUAUUUCUUGUUGAAAGAUGUAAAACCUGUAGCUUUUAAAGAGUUGACUUUGCUCUAUCCUAACUAGUUGUCAGAAUGGCUGCAUUAAACAUAGUGUUUGUUCACCUUUCUCUUCCUUCUGGCUUCUUAGAACAUUUCAGACGGUCAAAUACGAAGGUGGCAUAAAUAUGUUCACACUAAAUAAUGAAAAGCUGAGAUGUCAGAGUUCAUAUUAGGCUGAAGAAGUUUCGAGUACUAUGAGGUGUUCUGGCAUGGCUUGAAAUUCCUGCCAGGGCAGCGCACUGGUGGAGAUUGUCCAUUAGGGGUCAGUGAAGCUCCACCAGUGGAGGUGUUCCCUGCCUCGUCAGAUGAAGGGUACCCUUUUCACUGCUUCAUACUGUGUAAAUGUCUCUUUUGUCAAAACUCCUGCUUUUUCCAAAGCAACAACUUAAAGUGUAAUAGUGGUGUAUAGCUGUGGGUACUAAAAAUAUUGCCAAAGAAAUGCACAAGUGUUUUGUUUCGGUAGAAGAAGGAAAUACUGAAGAAUUAAAAAGACACUUUUCUUUCUGUAUGCAAAGUUGAGUUUGCUUAAGUGUCUUUUCUGACAAAAAGGAUAUUUUUAGCUAACUUCCAGUGAUCUGUAUGUUAGGUGCAACCUGUUGUACUUCUUGAGGAUCCCCAUCAAUAUCAAGUAUCCAGAUGGGCCUUCUUAAUUUCCUAAUAAGUGAAGCAAAAUGUACCCCCCAAAAAAAGUGUGAUUUAUUACUUUUCGUUCUAUCAGGACUCAUAAUAUCUUUUUUCAUUCUUUUUUUUUUGAGCAAUUUUAGAAUUGUCCAUAAAAUUUGUUCUUUGUACUAUUAUGUGAUUAGGUGGUCUCGAGUGAAAUUAUUUUUCCUUCCAACUCUGGCCAAAAUAUCGGUAAACUAUCUCUGGUGAAGACUGCUUUUCCUUAAAAUUGUAAAGGUAAACUUUAUAUGUUACUACCAAGUACUUCAGAGGUCUGAUUGUAUACAUUAUUUUUUGAAGAUACUGUUCUAUCACAGAGGAUUAUAAAGUCAAUCCCAUUUAAACAAAAAUUUAUGUCAGUCUGGCUAAGUGCCAGCCCUUGCAAAAGAAUCCAACUUCCUCUAGAUCCUAACAGAUAGUUAUGAAAUUUUUUAUUUUAGUUAUAAGUUUGAAUUUUUAUUUCCUGAAGAUGAUUUUGGCUCUUAGAAAGGAGGAAUCCUGUUUGUUGUUGGCUGUGAUUUUUGCUGUCAUGAGGGAAUUAAGAUGCUUUUUAAAAUUAAAAUUGUUAUAUUUUCCUCUAACCCAGAUUCCUUAUCAUAUUCUCUAAAGCCUUCUCAUGUGCCAUUUAAAGAUUAUAAAAUCUACCAUGUGUGUCUCAGUGUGUUAGUACACACAGUUCUACAGACACCUUCCCUAUCUGGCAUAAGAUUUUGGGUCCCUAAAAGCUGGCUGGUACUGAAGAAAGCAAUCAGGCACUUUUCUCAGGCACAGUGAUGCAGAUUCACAGUAGCAGUGUAAACACAGGCUUUAUGGAAUUGUCCAAGCUUGCCUGAAAAGAGGGAAGGAAGGCGGUAGGAUGGUCAAAAUGUGUUACCUGCCAAAUUAUGAAAUUACUUUAUGCUCCAGGUUCCUGACUACAGUCCUUCUUGCAGGUUACUGCAGCUGCCCCUAGUGGAGUCUUCGGGGCAUAUCAGGAGGGCAUAUCAGGAGGGAGACAAAAUGCAAAGAGCUCUAAUACCCACUGGGAGAAAGAGGAGACCAGAACAUCCAUCUGCAGCCAGUGAUGACCUCUGCAUAAGGGCAUUGCUUUCCUUGCUCCAAUGCAGUUUUGAUUUUUAAGAACAGAGAAAUGGAAGGGGCUGCUCAAGCCUCAUUAACUUAAUCCUGCGUUACAGACAAACUUAAAAUGGAGGCUUUUUCCCUACUGCAAUCCUCAAAUAAGCAAGGAUUUAAAGAAAAUAAACUUUAUCCCCUGCUAGGCAGGAAGUCUUGAUGGUAAAUUUCUGCUGUCCCUGAGCUAAUGAAUCAUAAUAGCACAAUGGAUUUUUCUUCCAAGAUUUGGUCCAAUUGCCUGCAUUUUUUUAGACCCAUGUUGUUUAUUGAUAUCUUCAAUAUACUGUGGUAGCAAUUGCUACAGCUUAACAAUACACUAUGGGAAAAAGAGCUUCUCUUUAUUUUGAAUUUAUUGUCUGCUAAUUUGUUUCAUCCCCCAGCAUUCUCUUACCGGAAGAAACAGAUGAACAAUUGUUUCCUUUUUACUAUUUCUAUGGUAAAAUAACUUCCCAUAAUUUUAAGAUCUUUUAUCAAAUAUUUCCAUCAGUCAUAUCCUUUACAGUCUUGGCAAGCCCUGUUAUCUUCAGUUCUUCCUGUUAUUGAAUCCAUUUCAUACCUUUAAACAUCCUUACAGCCCUUGUCUGUACAUAUUUUCUUUUACCAUCUCUUUUCAAGAAGGCCGGCACUGCAUUGAAAAAUGGGGAUUCAGCAUUGCUUUACACAAUAGCUUUUUAUAAUUUAAUCAGCAAUUUUACCAGAAGAGGACUUUUGUCCCAUGGCAUCUUAGUAUCUCUAAGAACCUUCAGUGAGAGAUGUGGUUGAAUGGCUUUUAUAAAUCAAAGUAAAUUAGAUGAAGUGGAUCUCCCUUUUCAUGCAGUCUGUGAUGGCUGAAUAUUACAGAUAUUCUUCCAUGACAUUUUUCUACAUGUCUUCUCUUAUUUGAUUAUAGUAUCUACCAGCUAUCCCAAAAUGAUGUCACUUCGAUGUCCCCUCCAUGGAACGUGUGUGGGAGGACAGACAAGAUGGGUGGGUUUUGCAGAAGAUGUGUAUAGUCACCACUCUAAGGAAAGCACAGGCAGGUUGCAUUGUUUCUGUCAUCUUAAGAGCAGACUGAAAACAGUUUAAAAGCAGUGAAAAUCCCCACAUUGACAUAUUUAGAAGUUUAAACUUGGUUACAUUUAACUUCCACUACUGGUGCUGUUCUGUAUUUGUUGGAUACAAAUCUGAACUCAAAUAACUCUCCUUUGCAGGUUUUUGUGAACUCUGUGCAUCCAGACAGGGAUUACUCAAAAUGGCGACAAAAUACAUCUUAAUUAAAAUCAGUUUGUCAUUCUCAAAAUCUCGUUGUAAGCAAAAAUGGGGAGAAGCCUGACUUGAGAAGCCAAGAAUUUAUUGUUCAUCUAACUGAUAUUUUAGUAGACUUAAAUAAAAUGCAAUAAACAUUUACUUCGAUUAGUCCAGUUACUAAAUUUCACAGUUCCAGUUAUCUUACUAAAUUAAUAUUUCUCACUGUAUUAAAAAAAAUCAAUUUAAAUUAUUGCAGAGAAAAGCACACAAGCGCACACACACUGAGUUGAGUGUGAUGAUGACUGGGUUUCCUCCUCUUUGCCAAGAGGAAUACAGUGUUGGCAACUUCUUCCUCCCUCUAGGUUCCACUUGGGGCUAUUUUUGUGUUUACUGACACUUUAUUAGACCUUGUUCUUUCUUCACUGGUCUGCAAGUACAUUACAUCUGCAUUUACAAUAUACAGUGCAUUUUAUAUGUGUUGGGCAAUACCUUUUGCUCUCUUUUACUCCUAAUUCCGGUUUUGCCCAGCUCCAAAUUGUGAGUAUCUUUAAUUUACCAUUGGUGAGUACUUACAUUCGUAGUGUUAUCCCAAGCCCCUUUUAUCAGUCCAGGACUGAUUUGUCUAGACCACAUCCAGUGUUCCCACUUUGAAGGCUUUUGCUGUCAUACUUUGCCAUUGUUCCUAUAUAUUUGCGCUGCUUGCUAUAUGUUUGAGUCCCAAAUACAUCCUUCUAUGUAGAAUAGCCAGCUGCCACCACUAUAAAACUAUUACAUCACAUGACUAAAAUAUGCAAAAUUACACAGAAUGGGUAGUAUGUGUCUGAUCAUUCGAAAAAAAAAAUGUUGUUACAUCUCAGCAAGCUAAACCAAGGUUUCCAGUCAGGCUGAGACAAGUUUAGCCAAGGAGAACCAGACAACUAGUCAAACAUCAGAUUAAAGAGGCAUCGCUUACAAAAAAAGAUUAUCAAAAUAACAUUGUUUUCUAUAGGUAGCUGUAGAUCCUCUGUAGGGGCUUUCUUGUGAGGCACCACCAAAUUAAAACAGGAGAAAGUUGUGUAUACUUAUGCUAUGGAUGCUGUGUCAAUCUUAAAAAGUGAUGUGAUCCAAAAUGAGCAGCACUGUCAAACUGCUUUGGUGCUGGACAUUUCCAGGGCAGAGAUUGCUCUGGCCUUGCUCCAGUCUGUCCUCAGGCAGUGACUGCUGUUAUCAGUUGGAAUUUGUUACCUGCACUCCUGAAGAACAGCUUGUGAUUUAGGGUCUUCUAGUAGAAAUCCCUUUCAUAAAACAUGAAGUUCUAUGAUGUGAACCAAGGUGCAGCAAGAGGGGAUGAUCCUUAUCUGAAUUAAAAUUGAAUUGAAUGCGGGUAGCAUGCAAAUGCGAGCCAGUGCUAGCAUAGGCAUGCCUUGUGUGAGUUCAAAACUGUGGCGUUUGAGCUCUUAAGUGGCAUUUUUUACUUACUGGAGCACCUUCAAGUAGCAAAGAAAGAAAGUAAGAAAUAAGCGCUGGAAUCAGGGAACUAGACAAAACAAGUGAAAUGUGAGAGGAAUAUGAGAUUUCAUGAUAAAUGCACUUAGCCAGCUAGUGAGAGAUUUCUGCAAGGGCCAUGAUGAGAUAUUAAAUGUAGCUGCAAGAGACCAGGGUCAUCUACACUUAGAUCAAGCUGAAAAAUGUAAAAGCACUGUCCACAAACCUGGAAAAGCAUACACUCAUCAUUCAAUGGGAGGAAAAAAAUAGAAAGUAACAAUGUUGAAAGACAAGUAUACUUCAAACUGAAUCUCAUUGUGUUAGAUCCAGUCCUUAUUUGUAAUGUCUUGAUUUCUUUUUUGACAGUUGGGGCAAGGAACACUAGGCUAUGUAAAAUGCCAGCUAGCAUCUUGAAUUACAAAAGGCAGAGAGAAAAACAAGAUCUGAUUCUGUGGUGAAACCAUCCGCUCAGAAAAUGCUUUUCAAUGUGAAAGUCUGCAUGCUAUUAACUGUAACCGUAAACCUGAGCUAAUAUAAUGUUGUGUUUAUUCCCACUGAGUGGGUUCCUGUGAGUCUGAUCUUUUGCAUCUCCUUAAUCCCUGCACAUGCUACUUUAUGCAUUUUCCUUUCUAACACUCUAGCUUUACUACCUGCUGUCUGUAUGCCACAUGCAAUUUUGGUAAGCAUGCAGGAUUAGCUUUUUAGCAGUAGCUAGCACUGGCUGGCAUUUGCAUGCUACCCGCAUUCAAUUCAAUUACUGACUGUGCACAGGGCAGUAAUUGCAGUUUCAGGAAGCUAAGGUUAAUGAGUAAUUUGAGUUUUAUGUUUUCCUGGGUCAUAAGAUACUGAUGGAUAAAAGGUAUUUGUAUAGGAGAUAUUUAAAUUGUGGCAAUUGUAUUAGACUGUGCUAGCAGCUCGUAAAGAAAGUUUAGGUGUCUACUGAAAUUGAAAAUGUCUUUGAUAAUGAAACCCAAAGGAGAAUGGAAGAGAUCUAUUCUGUCCACUUCUCUUUUCCCACCAAAUGGACACAGCAUACAAUUUGGUCAGUGAGAAAAAGAGAACUUCAGUUUCUCUGCAAUAAGACCAACUUCUGCUAUGCAUGACAGGGCUAUAAGUAAGCAUCAUAAGUAAAUAUUAGUGUUAGAGAGACAAAAACAAAAAAGCAAAAAAAAAAGAAAGGUUUGUCUGAUGUAGGGGUCUAAAUGAAAAUUAGACAUUUGCCUCCAGGUACCUGCCCAUCUCUGGAUAGGUCAGAAAGCAGUCCCUGCAGUGCAUUAGUUAUCAGCUUGAUCAACAGGCAUCAGGCUUGAAAAUUGAAUCAGUCAUCUAGUUCUAAUCAGCUACCAUCUAGAAACCGAAUUCCCAUCAAAUCAGUAUGGACCUUUUUUGUAUGCUUCAGUUUUUUGAAAAACUUUAGGAAGUCAGUGGUUUCAGAGAAAGUCUAACUUGUCCCAGCUCUGCCGUGAGAGGAGGGGGUUAUGCUGCAGUAACGGCUUUCUGGAAGUGGUGUCUCUUUUAAGGUCCUCAUCUUCCUAUUAUAGCAAAACAUAAGAGUAAUUAAAACUAAUAAGAGGAAGGAUGCAAAUGUAAGUAGGUAUGUGGGACAGUCAAAACCUCAAAUCUCAAAUGUUGCACACCAGGCAGUAAUUCAGCUGAGGGUCAGAUCUACCCUGUGUCACUUGUGCCAUUCAGUGCCUCACGCUUUCCAUCUCUCUUUACAUCUCCUCCGUCCCCUGUGAGGGGCUUCAGUGAAGACAGACCUCAGGGAGCUGGACCUGUUUCCUUCCUCCUCUGGCACACUGCAGGUGUAGCAUGUCUGGUCAACCUAAUCUUUGAUCUCCCUUAAAAGCUCUUCAUUAGAAAGUAUGUCUCAGCCAUGGCUAGCACCUUGACCUCUCCCCUGAGUGCAUGAGCCAUUGUGUCCCCUUCUUGCUCAUUUAACCCUGUACAAGGCUGUGUUAAGGAGGACUUGGAAGCUCAGUAACCACUUAUCUGGGCUUUAACUGCUCGGUGCGCUUGGCCACUCUUACUUUGGGGAAGAGAAUUAGAGGAGCAUUUGAGGAGAAGACAGAGAAUGGAUAAUGGAUGGGAGUAUGUCACAAGUAGAUUGAAUUUAGAUGAGAGUGUGAAAGGGGAGAAUAUAGAUGGGAGAGCAAAGGAAGAAGACAUGAGACUAAUCAAACAAAUAUUAAUGGGGUACAAGGAGAAGUAAUUGUGCUCCUUAGUAUUAAGCCUGUAUUGUCAGCCUGUUAGAAUUAGUGAGGGAGAUGCCUACCUUGUCAACACUAGCUGAGCCUAGCUCCUGGUGUGCCCAAAUGAACCAUCAAACAGCCUCUUGCUGGUCAAAAGGGGGGCAUCUGAACGCUGCACAAGCUGCACACCAGUGCUUCUCUGGCAACCCCAGUGAGCAAGCAGGGCUCAGAUACUUGGGUCAGGAUCCAAGGAGCUGUCACAUGAAAGUCUCAUGCACAUUUCAUACCUAUGGGACGGGACUGCCAGGAGCCUCCAGAGCACUACUGCAGUGGGAGCAGAAGAAUUAGAGGGGGUGGGAUGGAAGGAAGGAAGGCAGGAAGGAAGAAAGGGUUGCAUAUGAGUGAAAGCAUCUUUCAACUAAAGACCACCUGUAUGUACUUUGGUUGUUUCUGAAAUAUAUAUGUAGGGCUAAUUCUGUGGUGGCACAGAAAACUAGCCCUCAGCUUUUGUUGAAACUAUGUUAAUUACACUAGUAAAACCUCUUUUCCUAGUAUUGCAAUAUUUGACAUGACAUUCCAUGUGAUGAGCAAGACAGUAGAACCAAAAGGGAGAUGCAUUAAUGUGGGUAAGUAUUUUCUACAUUGGUGUCCUGGUUUCAGCUGGGAUAAAGUUAAUUUUCUUUCUAGUAUUUGGUACAGUGCUGUGUUUUGAAUUUAGUAUUAAAGUAACAUGGAUAACACACUGAUAUUUUCAAUUGUUGCUGAGCAACUUGGAGUAAGUCAAGGACUUUUCAGCUUCUCGUGGCCUGCCACUCAGAAGGCUGGAGAGGCACAAGAAGUUGGGAGGAGACACAUCCAGGACAGCUGACCCCAGCUGACCCAAGGGAUGUCCCAUGCCAUAUGGCAUCAUGCUCAGUAUAUAAACUGGGAGGGGAAGCUGGCUGCUCAGGAGAUGGCUUGGGUACCUGUCAGUUGGUGGUGAGCUAUUGCAUUGUGCAACACUUGAUUUGUAUAUCCUGAUUCUUUUAUCAUUACUAUUAUUUGCUUCCUUUUCUGUUCCAUUAAACUAUCUUUAUCAGAACCUAUGGGUUUAAAUCUUCCUAUUCUCUCCCCUGUCCCACUGGCAGGGGGACAGUGACUUAGUGGCUGUGUGGUGCUUAGUUGCCAGCUGGGGUUAAACCACGACAAUUGGAUGAACCUACUUAAAGGCCAUUACAUUAUACUUUCUUGUUCCUCCCCUGUGGAUGGCCGAGCACCUAAGCAUAUGUCAAGUAGUUUAAAAAUGUUGCUGGCAUUCAGAAGGGUGGUGUCCUUGACCACUCACCUCUGGUAGAGCUCUAAUUAGGCAAUUCCUCAAGUUCUGAAUUGGAUUCAUGACAGCAUUUUCUCCCAUCUAUUUAUAGUUUAUGCUGAUGCAACAUAACAAAGGUAUAUAUUGGCAUUUCUUUGCCUUAAUACCCCUUUUUUUUUGUAAAUUUCCACAAAAUAUUACCUAUAUUUCACAGUCCUUCUGGUCAGAUGAGUGUGAUUUCUCAUAAUGACUAGUAGUUAUUUUCUAAUAAUCCUAGUAUUUCCAUAACCAAGAUGGAUGUUUCUAAGGGAAUGACUACAUGUGUGCUUGCAGCUGUGUUCAAAACAUAGUACAGCCAAAGACUGUCAUGAGUCUAAGUUACACACCCAAAAUUCAGUUCCAAAAACUGUUGGGGCUGCAUUUUAAGACCUCAUUUUAGUUCCUAGGCCUCUUCAUGCAAAUAAAAAUUCUUGAUUUUGCAGGAUUAGUCAAUGGCAAAACCCAGCGGGAAGAUGAUUUUUUCUCCCACUGAAACUGUGGGUGGGGGUCUGCGUUUGCAUCCUUACUCUGUAACUAUUCUCUGUUCCUGGCCAAAGCAGAAAUGGUUAGGAUUGUGACCCUGAGCCUACUUAAAUAAUCGCUUAAUAAAUGUUCUGGUUUUCUCACUAUAGACAUGAAUUUCAGAUCUGAGAUUCAGGUGUCUCCAUAGCUCUUUCCUAGGCUCUACAUGAUUAUAUUAGCUCGUGGCUCUAGUCCUGAAAGAGUGUAAUUUCAUCCUCACAUUUCCAAAGAUUAAUCUCUUCUCAUUAACAAUAAGGGGUCACAUUACAUUGCUAAAAAAAAAAUAGUAACAUACAUCUGAAUUUCCCACCCAUGUGAGCAGUGGAAAAAUGAACAGGAGUGGGAAGGAGUCAUCACAUCAUAUACUUAACUCAUCUAAAUCUGGAUGCUUUAAUUAGGUUCCUCCACCAAAUGGAAUCAGGACGAGUUAUCUCUUUCACUGUUAGGAAAGCCAAGAGAAAUUAGGUUCCUAAUUUAUUUAUCAAAAUAUUUUAUUGUAUUUGAUUAUGUAUCAAAUACCUUAAAAAGGUGCUCCGAAUAUCUCGUCUUCUCCCCAGCCUCUCAACUUCUUAAGCUAUUAACUUACUGAGCCUGAUGAACUUUCAGAAGUACACCAGAACAACUUCUCUUGAGCUCUAGACCCACGGGGCACAACAAAGAAACUUGAAGAAAGCUGAGAUGGAAAAAUUUUCAGAAAAAAAAUUCCAGAGCUAAAGAGGAGGAGCAGCAGAUAUGCAUCACAGCCACAACAGUAGCUACUGCUCUCAGCCCACAUGAACUGUGAGAGCCUAAUGAGCAAAAGUGGCCAUUCACUUCAUAAAUAUUUGGGCUGAAGGACUGAAGAAGGUCGUGUUUUGAAGAACUGACUACAGACAAUUGAUCAUGAUGGGGGUAACAAGGUAUUUCUAGGAGGCAAAAGUGUGACUCCAGCAGAGCAAGGGGUCAGGAGCUGUCAUGGGAAGGGCCACUAAGCCUACGGUCCUCGCAAGCGGUUGGCCAGCAUGCCUUGUGGGACCAUAAGGGCUCCACUGCUGUGAUAGCCAUUAGCUUCAGCAGCCUAAAUGUUGCAGGAACCUUUAAUCUGAAUGUAGCUAGAUGGAAGCUGCUACACGUAUAACUAGCAAACUUUGAUAACAGUGUAGUUAUCUUCAAAAAUAGAUCAUCUUGGGAACCAAGGUCAAGAUGUGAUUGUAAGAAUUAGAGCCUUUCCUAAAAGUGCUGAGGAAAACAAGAACACAAACUGAAAAGCCUAUUGAUUCUUCCAUUUUACUACUGAUGACUGGCUGCAUCAAACUGAUCUGCUGGGAGCCAUCACAGAUAAAUCCACAAUAAAGGAAACACUCUGUGGACCGGCAGCAGAUACAACAGAAACCUUCCCAGAGGAGAGGAGAGAAGAGGUUGCUUUUCCCCACCAUCACAUUCCUGGGCAGCAGCCACAUACCAGAGAGGCAAAUCACCCGCCACUGGUGCUCAGUGGUCAGAGUAAGUUUCCUAUCACUUUCGGAUUCAUGUAGUCUUUGAAGCCCUUCACUCAGGUUUACCCACAGGUCUGUACCUCCAAUCUUUCCUCACAUACACAGUCUUGUGAAAGAGAGAACAAUUUUGCCUUUAUGAGUGUUUUUGACCACAGCUUACCUUAACUGACUGCAGUGGAAAUUCUCUAGAUUUGCACCACUGUGAACUAAACCGGGCUUGGGGGAUCUGUGUGUGUGGGUUAUAGACUCCUUAAUUGCCUGUGGGCAGCAUUGUCCUCUGACUCAGAAAUAUCUUUGCCUUGGGAAAAAAUAAUAUACCCCCCCCAAAUUCUUGUUUGUCUCCGUUGACAGACACAGUCUCUUUAAUGUUGCCCUGCUUUUGUCUUAACACAAUUUAUUGGACAAAUGGCAAAAAAGGCUGUUAGUUGUUUCCACUGAAAUUUGUGAGUGAUAAACACAUCUGUUAUACUCCUGUACAGUAACUGGGCACAUUUUCAAUUAAAUAGUCCCCUAAUUCAAAAGCAUCUCACCUGCUCUCAAUAUGACAGCAAUAAAAACGUAGCUAUGUGCUUUGUUUCUGGCAUAGUUUCAGCUCUUCCACAUUACUUAAAUCGUGAGCAUAUAUUCCAGUUAGCUUAGGCUUCAGGCUUUAAAAGCUCAAAGUGAGUAAUGAAGGGAAAGCAAUCUGAUUAGCUGGUGGAGCUGACUAAAAGGCACCUUCAUUAUGAAGGAGCUUAAAAAAGGAAUAAAACUAUAUAAAAUGGAUUAAAGGUAUAAUAAUAAUGAUAGUAUCAAACAGCAUAACAACUGAAAUUAAUAUUUAAUAGAUGGUACAGGCAUGUCCAUGGCUUUAUAUUCUUCUGUUUUAAUGAUCUUAACCACAGCUUGAGGUCCUUUGUCUUGUCUCCUUCUACUGACAUCAGCUGGAAGAGACAGAGAUGAAAACAAGGGCAAUUUCCCCAUGGUCAUUGCUUGGCACUAUUUCUGCUUUGCUCAGCCAUGAACUGAAGUUGAAAGGAUGAAGUGCUGUCAGUCAGACUGAUUCUUCCCUGUAACCUGUCUUACCUGGGUUAACCACUCAGCCAGUCACCAAGGAAACACGUACCUCCUUUGCCCAUCUUACAGCCACCCCACAGCCUCAUGUUGAGAACAUCACCAUAAUCUCAUUAGGACAUUGAAUUUACCAUUGAAGCUUGAAUUCCCCUAACAGGAGGGGAGUGGACUAAUGCAAUUAAACAAAUUAGCUUUUUGAGCCACUGCAUGGUAUCUGCCCAAUACCAUGAGCAAAGAGUAGCUAGUUUUCUUCCUUUCUUAGAAAAAAAAAAAAAAAGAAAACAAACAACAAAACCAAGACUCCAGUCCUCUCUCCACGUUAUGUUCAGGGAAAUAGUGCAGUCCCCUGUCAUCUGUAAAGGUCUUUACAAGUGGGAAGGUAAUUAUUCACUUGACCAAAAACUUGAAUUGUUUCCCUUUAUUUUUCCAAGUGCUCCCAUCCCAGUGGUUCUGAUUAUUUUUAUCAGUGUAACGUUUAUGCUUCUAAAGGUAAAGUGGAUAAACCCAGAACAUUUUGUUCUUCUCUUAUGGUAUGUAACAGUGGUUACCAGAUAAGAACAAAACUCCUGUUGAUUUCAAAUCUAUUCUGAUAUGAAGUGCUUCUUAAGUGCUAUGAAUAACUAUUUUAAAAUACACCAGAUUUUCAGGAAAUAAUUCCGGCAUAUUCAGUAAUUCUCUAGAAAGGCAGAUUAUUAAAUGCCUAAGGCAGCGCUUUUCUGCCUUUUGUUGUGGGGUUUUGAGGCUAAUCCAGUUCCCUCCUCCCUCCCUCCCUCUGCCAAGUAAACAAAGCCGCAAGAGCGAACUGUAGCGAGAAUCAGGAACCAUGAAUCUUUGAAUAAUAUUCUGGCAUGUGAGUUUCCAAAGGCAACAUAUUUCUCUGGGAGUACUGGGGAGAGAGAGAGGGAGAGAGGGAAGGAAGGGAGCAGUGGUACCCUCCUGAGGAUAAUGCUGCCGUCUCCAUUACAGCAUUUCUUCCUGGGGAGGUAGAAGAUGGAAUGACACGGGUAGGAUCUAGAAGCCUCUUGUGCAUUUUGAUUACAAAGAGCCUAUGCCGCUGGCUGCUCGCUGCCUUCAUCUUUGAAUGGGAAAGGCAGGAAUAACAAGUGUAUUUUAGUAGAUGUUAUUGUGCUACCACUCAUCUCCUCACAAACAAAUCGCAGUCUGCCACCAGGCACUGGAAUCAGAAGGACUGAGAACAUGGGUUAUUACUAAAUAAGGGCAUUGGUUAUACACUCAACUUUAUGUAAUACAUGGUUCCUACCAUAAGCUGCUUACAAAAUAGAUAUAUAUUAUGUAGGCAGUAUGCAUAGUCCCAAAGGAUAGCGUAAUCUUAGCAGUUUUCCCUGAAAAUGCAAGGGACUUCAAGACUGAGUCAGUACUGAGAAUAUCUGUCACAAACUUGAAAAUAGAAUGUAGUAUAGAUAAUGCUGCAGUUAUUUGAAAAGUGUCACGAAGCUCAGCAUUUCAGUAGUCACAAACUCCCAAAAUGUCAGAGCUGAGCUGGUACUGAAGAGAAGCUGAAAUGUGCUGAAACAGAAAAUGCAAUACUGAGGCUUACAAACAAAAUGAGCUCUGCACUGUGAUAGCAAUAGCCAUACAGUUUGGAUUAAAGUAUUUUGAUAUUUAUGGUAUCAGAUCAGAUGAGGACAAAUUAAAAAAAAAAAAAUUAUGUUUUUAAAUACCUUUUUAGCUCCUGAUACCAUUACAAGAUAGAACCAGGGGUUGAAUUAUUUUCCUAUGUAAGUUCUUGUGUAACAUCACUGUAAAGUGGUCCUGGUUUGCCUAUUUAUUUUUUUCCUUUUAUCAUGUUUGGAUUUAAAUAUAGCCCUAAUCCUGCAUAUCCUCUUUGAAAAGCUUAGAUCCAUAAUGUAUUGUGUAGUAUUCUUUAAAGCGCUUUGCUCUAUAGUGUGGGGUAGCCUUCAGUUAACAAUAUAGAUUUCAACUCUUAACCUUACAUUUGAUAGUUUUUAUUGGAUUAUAUUCUUCAUUUAAUACAAUGUAAAAUUUCAAAUAUGAAUACUAAUUGAGACAAAUGAUACCCAGCAAAAAUAUUAGCAUUAUUUAAUAUCACAUAUCAGAUAAAACAUGCAGUAGCAACACAUAUUUAUGGGUAAAUUCACCAAGAUACCAAAGAACAAAAAGUAAAGCAUAUCAUCUGGGAAUACUGAGUUUACAGCUUAUAUUUUCCUAUGAAUUUUCCCUAAUAGUUUAUAUUUUCCUCUGUUCAGAGGAACAUUACCAAGCCAUUGAGACAAAGACUGAGAAUCUGACCUCUAACUUUGGGGCUGAUCUCUGAGGUUGCAGGACUGUUGUGAUGGUACAAAUAUUAUAUGAAAUGAGGGAAUUCCUAGUCUAUUCCUAAUUUUGCAUCAAACUAGUCAGUACAUAUUCUUGAAAAUUCUUCACGGGCAAACACCAUUAAUGUGCCAUUUUUGAAAAAAAAAAAAAAGAAAAAAAGAGAGAUUGAAGCCAUAUUUUUGUAU